UAGAAGAAGUAGAAGAAGAAGAAGAAGAAGAAGGAAACGCUUGUUGUUGACGCGGAUUUUGACUCACAGCCUGUUUACAUACAGUCUGGCAGACGAGUUGCUGCACUGAACCAAAGAAGAAGAAAAAAGAGUUGCAGAACGACAUAGAAAGGGUAUACAACAACUUCCGGUCGCAGCAGACAGAGCAGUGGAGACGGCUACGGACACAAAGAGGUUGGAGACCACAGGAGGAGUGAACAUCGUGUGGCUCUUCCCCGCUGGCGUCAACUCCGGGAGGAGAAGAGGGCGACAGCUAGGUUGUCUGCCACGGACCAGAGCACUGAGACCAGGCGAUCCCCGUCCGCAGCGAGAGAAGCAGGUCAGCAGAGGACCAGGGCCACUUCCUAAAGAGUCGACAACAGCACAGCCUGACCCGUCUGCCGACAGACCUGCUUUGACACAAGAGCUAGGAAACCCUGUGCAGACAGUUCCUUCAUUGUUGUACAUAUGUUGUUUAUGCUAAUAUUCUAAUAUAUAUAUUGU